rnacentral:rRNA from 1 species
UUUCCUACGGGAGGCAGCAGUAGGGAAUCUUCGGCAAUGGGGGCAACCCUGACCGAGCAACGCCGCGUGAGUGAAGAAGGUUUUCGGAUCGUAAAGCUCUGUUGUAAGAGAAGAACGUGUGUGAGAGUGGAAAGUUCACACAGUGACGGUAACUUACCAGAAAGGGACGGCUAACUACGUGCCAGCAGCCGCGGUAAUACGUAGGUCCCGAGCGUUAUCCGGAUUUAUUGGGCGUAAAGCGAGCGCAGGCGGCUGGGUAAGUCUUAAGUUAAAGGCUUG